rnacentral:misc_RNA from 1 species
GUAGGUUAUUGCCAGGGUUUUUAUUUUUAUACUUUAAACUUUGAUUUUAUUUUUAUGUUUUUUAAAUAUUGGUGUUUUUGAAUGUGUUGUUUAAAUAACCAUAAAAAAUAAAAUAUAUAUUGACAUGUAUUAAACAAAGAUAUAUAUUAUUUUAUGUUGUAUAAAUAAAUUGGCAAAAUAGAGAUGGAAGAUAAAAAUAUGGUCAAAGUAAUAAGAGUCUAUGGUGAAUGCCUAGGA